CCUACGGGAGGCAGCAGUGGGGAAUAUUGGGCAAUGGGCGCAAGCCUGACCCAGCAACGCCGCGUGAAGGAAGAAGGCUUUCGGGUUGUAAACUUCUUUUCUCAGGGACGAAUAAAGUCACGGUACCUGAGGAAUAAGCCACGGCUAACUACGUGCCAGCAGCCGCGGUAAUACGUAGGUGGCAAGCGUUAUCCGGAUUUAUUGGGUGUAAAGGGCGUGUAGGCGGAAGCGCAAGUUAGAUGUGAAAACUCAGGGCUCAACCCUGAGACUGCAUUUAAAACUGUGUUUCUUGAGUGCUGGGGAGGCAGUCGGAAUGUAGGGUGUAGCGGUGAAAUGCGUAGAUAUA
rnacentral:rRNA from 1 species